GUGCUUACUUAAGCAGCACGAAUGAUUCAGAGAAGAUUAGCAUGGCCCCUGCACAAGGAUGAAACAUAAAUUCAUGACACAUUCAUAUUUUUG
ensembl:snRNA U6 U6 spliceosomal RNA